ensembl:lncRNA
GCUCACGCAGGACUUUUGUGAUGGGAUAAUCAGCAUCACUGUAGUAGGACGUGUAGGCCUCAUCCCCUGAUGAAAAACACUGGUGAUUAACCAGAAAUGGCUGCAACCUGGAGUCUUAAGAUACUAGGAACAUACCUUCUGCACACCCUUUGGUAACACACUGGCCAUUGGCCAGUCUAAGCUCCACCCUGAGGGGUCCAGGGGCAGCUACUGGUGGAGGUGGAGGAACAGUGUUGACCUCCACAACCAGAGCUUCCACAGAAGUGCCAGAGUACCUACACUGGAAGAGAAGCCUGGACAACAGACGGGGAGCUUGUAGCAUUUGUCAGAGAUUAACGAUUAAGAACAGCAUAGAUCACCUACUCAAAAUGGCUGUCCCUUGUGAUGGAACCAAACGGUCCCAUCCCCACUUCAUACGAGGAGGUCAUUCUGUUCUCAUACACCACAUAACCACUGUCCUCCUGCAAAUAGCAACACUGUUGGCAUCCAGUCCAUCAUAGGCCAUGAAGCAUAAAACCAUAAGCAGCUACUCACCAUCAUUCUUGUACCACAUGCAGUCACCGGGAACUGGUAUACAGCAAAGGAAGGUGUGGACCCCACAGGACUGCAAGGUGGGUCGUUUCCACCCAGUAGAUGGACUGAAUCCAGACUCAGUCGAGGCAACGUAACAUCUCUAGCCACCACUACAACAAACUGACCAUCUCUUAUACACUGGACAGUCACUGGAACAAAAGGCACAAGACCAGGUUAAUGUCAAGGAUCAGUUUAACUGGGAGCAUAACAGCAACUCAACACUCUUACCUGCCUUCCCAUAGUAACACUGCUGUCCGUUAAAGCAGCAGUUGAUAGCUUCACAUUCAGCACCACUGAUACCAGGUUGUCCACAAUGGAUCUGCUCAUAAUCAACUACAGCACAUUUGUCCAAAGGCUCUGCCUUCGUCACUUGCUUCUGAAACUUCUGAGGAAACUGUUGAUUAGUCUGUUGCAACAGCUGCUGAAACUUCUGAGGAAACUGCUGAUUAGUCUGUUGCAGCGGCUGCUGAAACUUCUGAAGAAACUGCUGAUUAGUCUGUUGCAACGGCUGCUGAAACUUCUGAGGAAACUGCUGAUUAGUCUGUUGCAACGGCUGCUGAAACCUCUGAAGAAACUGCUGAUUAGUCUGUUGUGCUGGCUGCUGAAACCACUGGUCAGUUUGCUGGAGCAUCAGAGCUUGAGGGUUCUGGGGAAACUGCUGAUUAGGCUGUUGAGCUGGCUGCUGAAACCGCUGGUCAGUUUGCUGGAGUAUCAGAGCUUGAUGAUUCUGGGGCAGAUUACUCAACUUUGGAAGAGCAUGACAGAACUCACACAGUGCCAAUAAAUGACCCAACCACCAACUUCCAGCCAUUGUCCAAGAGUUAAUUGCACUAUUGAGAUGCUGCCCUUUGGUCUUUUUGUACUCUACAGAUUUCAGCUAAUUAGCUAUCGUCCCUCCCUCUUCAUUAACACUCAUGAUUCUCCAGACUUGCAUUAUUGAUAGCUCAUGCAACUGGGUGAUUCUCAUUGGUUCUUAAGAUU